AUCUCUGGGUUACGUCCCGCAACGAGAGCGACCCUUAAGCUUAGUUGCCAUCAUUAAGUUGGGCACUCUAGGUUGACUGCCGGUGACAAACCGGAGGAAGGUGGGGAUGACGUCAAAUCAUCAUGCCCCUUAUGAUUUGGGCUUCACACGUGCUACAAUGGACAAUACAAAGGGCAGCUAAACCGCGAGGUCAUGCAAAUCCCAUAUUUUUGUUCUCAGUUCGGAUUGUAGUCUGCAACUCG
rnacentral:rRNA from 1 species